rnacentral:tRNA from 1 species
GAAGAUGUGGCUCAGUGGUAGAGCGCUUGCCUACCAAUCAUGAGGCCUAAGUUCAAACCUCAAUACUGCCA